rnacentral:rRNA from 1 species
AAUGAACGUUGGCGGCGUGGAUUAGGCAUGCAAGUCGAGCGAGAACCCCGCAAGGGGGGACAGCGGCGAAAGGGACAGUAAUGUGAAGAUUAUCUGCCCUCAGGUCCGGGAUAGCUGCGGGAAACUGCAGGUAAUACCGGAUAACAUCUCCGGAUCAAAGGUGUGAUUCCGCCUGAGGAUGAGUCUGCAUCCUAUUAGCUAGUUGGUGGGGUAAUGGCCUACCAAGGCAUUGAUGGGUAGCAGGUGUGAGAGCACGACCUGCGUCAUUGGGACUGAGACACUGCCCAGACACCUACGGGUGGCUGCAGUCGAGAAUCUUCGGCAAUGGGCGCAAGCCUGACCGAGCGACGCCGCGUGUGGGAUGAAGGCCUUCGGGUUGUAAACCACUGUCAGAGGGGAUGAAAUGCAGGUGGGUUCUCCCAUCUGUUUGACAUAGCCUCAGAGGAAGGACGGGCUAAGUUCGUG